rnacentral:rRNA from 1 species
UACGUAGGGUGCAAGCGUUGUCCGGAAUUAUUGGGCGUAAAGGGCUCGUAGGCGGUUUGUCGCGUCGGGAGUGAAAUCCACUGGCUUAACUGGUGGCUUGCUUUCGAUACGGGCAGACUGGAGGUAUGCAGGGGAGACUGGAAUUCCUGGUGUAGCGGUGGAAUGCGCAGAUAUCAGGAGGAACACCGGUGGCGAAGGCGGGUCUCUGGGCCGAUACUGACGCUGAGGAGCGAAAGCGUGGGGAGCGAACAGG